rnacentral:rRNA from 1 species
UACGGAAGGGGCAAGCGUUGUUCGGAAUCAUUGGGCGUAAAGGGCGCGUAGGUGGUUCUGUAUGUCUACCGUGAAAGCGUACGGCUCAACCGUAUUUUGUCGGUGGAAACUGCAGGACUUGAGGCUGGGAGGGGCUGGUGGAAUUCCCUGUGUAGCGGUGAAAUGCGCAGAUAUCAGGAAGAACACCCGUGGCUAAGGCGGCUCUCUAGUACGGUACUGACGCUGAGACGCGAAAGCGUGGGGAGCGAACAGG